GUUCCGGUGGCUUAGUGGUCAAAGCGUCCACCUUGUAUGCGGGAGGUUGUGGGUUCGAAUCGGAGCCGAGUCGUACA